AAUUACGGAAGUUAAGGUCUGGGGAGGUUGGAUUUCCGGCUGUGAUGAGGUCCAAGGGCCUGCCAACUCACAAGGUAGCAGGUGAGCAAACUGAGGCGUCCCCGUGCCAUCUGCACUUUGCUGGUGCUCUGAUUUGACUUCCCGCGGCUGCGCUGUGCUCCUCUGGUGGCUUCGGGCUCUGGCGAUGCCACGCAAGGAAGGUGCCUGAUGUGCAGGAAGAAGGGGGUAAAACAAAUGCAUCCCGCAGAGGCGCUGCGUCAAGAGUCACUGCCCUAAAGAAGACUUCCCGUGCUGGCUGCCUCACCGUCCUCUGCUCGUUUCCAGGCCCCAGUUCCCCGAAAUCCGGCCCGGCCGUAGUCACUCUCUCCUGUCACCCUGGGCUUUCGGGUCCAGAGAGCUUCACCCUUCUCGGUCCGUCCAGUCCUCUCUCGAGCCAGAAAAUGUUUUUUUCUUUCUUCCACCUUCAUUUCUACAUUUUCUUCUGAUUCUCUUUGCAUCGCUAUUGUUCCAUCUCAACAUUCUUGGGUCUUUCUCAUCUGAUUCCCUUCAAAUGAAAGAAAUCCCUUUCCUUUAUAAAAUGUAUUCACUGAAGUAGUGGAAAUAAAAUAGACACUUGGGUACUCACCAUCUAGAUUUUGCUUUUAUUUUCUCUCUUCUUUUUUUUGGUCAUUUUCUUUUCCUCCAAGAAACGAAAUCCAUCUUUACCCCCUUUUGGUUUUUGUAUUUCCGAGGAUUCUUCACCUCGCAUCUCUUUUCCUCUAACUUUCCGUGGCAGACGAAGAGGCCCACCGUAAACCCCUUCUCUUCUUUCUGGUCACAUGCUCGCUCCACGGAGACUGCGUGUCUUGUCCUGCUGUGCAGCGAGCUCUGAGUUGGCGGGUGCAGUC